GGUGGCCUAGUGGUUAGAGCGUCCGAUUUGGAUGCAGGAUGUCGUGGGUUCGAUCCCCGGUUGAGUCA